GCCACCCAGAACCACGCGCCCCACACAGGCUUCUCUUUGCCCUCCAAGGUCCUCGCCCCGCCCCCGGGGGGGCUUGCCCCGCCCAGUGGCGCGUGCGCAGAGCCUCCUACUUCCCUCCCGCCUGGCAGAGGCGGGCUGGGGGCGGGUGCUGGGCGGAGGAGGCUGAUCCAAUCAGAGAGAAGUAGGAAAGAAAGCGGUGGGCUCGGGUCCAGCUUCACCUGCUAUAACUCUCCAGGUGUUCCAGAGUCAAGAAGCUCAGCUGACCGGCCGCGGAUGCUGGGGCCUCCUGGGCUCAACUCUAACUCUAGCUUGAAAGAAGGAUGUCUACCAAGUUAAGACCCGGUGUAGGCACACACCAGUGUAUUUAAAAUGCAUCCCAGGGCCAGGGAUGUAGCUCAGCAACGGAAGCGCUUGCCUGGAUCAUCUGGAACUUGGUGACAUCCUUAAUGUCCAUUGAACCACAAAGACAAGACGUAGCUUUGGUGUUGGCUGCUCCCAGCAGGAGGGCAAAGGAACUUCCAUGUGACUAAGAUGUAAGGUGAUCUCAAGCAUGACUGGACGCCAGAAGAACUUGGCUGGCCUUUACCGACUGUCAUAAUGGAAUGGGCCAUCAGCCGGCAGCCUGCAGAAUUUGGGGUAAGGAAGUGUCUUAUUUUUUCAUUGCUGAGACAAAAUACCCAAAAGGAAUCCUAACCUUAACCCCAUCAUCUCCUCCAGGGUUUUACUCAGAUGCCACCUUCUUGAUGAGGUCAUUUCAGAUGCCUUUUAACAAAUUAAGAUCCCUCCGUACUAGUUAGCCAGAGGCAGACACAGCACAUGAAGUACAUGUGCUGGCUGUAAACCACAGAAGCCCAAGGACAAGGCAGGCCAGGUCUGUUUCUCUGCAGCCCUGACUGCUUGUCUACAGAUGCCCACUUUCCCCCCAGGAUCUCCCAUCGCUCUGCUCUUCAUGUGGGUAUCCCUGGCAAUGUGUCUACGUGUUCCUUUCUUACACAGUCACUAGCUGGCCUGAAUGAGGGCCCAUUUAACCUAACUGCUUCCUUAAGGACUCUCCAAAUAUAAUCACAUUCAUUGGAACUGAGGAUUAAGGCUUCAACCUAUGAAUUCAAGGAAUGGGAGGUGACACAGUUUAACCUGUGAUAUCCACCAUCCCCAGGACCAGAAAUUAUCAGUCUGAUCUUCUGCAUAUUUUGCUUAUUCAUGUUGAUUAUGGCCUUUUUCUCUUCCAUCUUCCACUACAAUGUUGUUCUCCAUGAAGGCAGGGAUUUUUACCCAUUUUAUUCACCACUGUACUUGCAAUACCCAGAAUAAUGCCUGGCACAUAUUAAGUGCUUGUUAAUCAUCUGUUACAGUAAUGAACAAGCAGAGCUUCCCCACUAACUAGCUGUAAGUGCAGGAAAAUCACUUCCCUUGUCUGUCCAGUGAGAGUUAGGCUGGGUAACAGAGGACGAGCGUUCUGUUCUGUUUGUCUGUGUACUGUUCUGUUUGUACUGCUUUAGCCUGGGUUUCCUAGAAAAUAGUCAGAGGCAAAGCUCAGGUGUGGAGGCUUUCUUGGGAGGAGGUACGAUUGCACAGCAGCCAGAGUGAGGGAGAGGGUGAGGCAGUGCCAGCUGAGAAAUGAUCGGGGUACAGUGCAGACAGCUGCUGCAUUCCCAGUCCGGUGCUCAGCCACACAGGGUGCCUCCAGACCGGCCAUAGAGAACCCCAGGCCUGGGGACCGUCCACGGAAGGAGGAGGGUAAGGGCCCCCAACCCGUCACAACUGACUCCUGGAAAUUAAAGGCCUCACACUUAGGCUCUCAACUGCUCUGGUUUGGUUUUUGUUCUGGCUUUGGUUUUGUAUUCUGAAGCAGGGUUUUGCUCUAUACCCCACAUUAUCCUCAAACUCAAAAUCCUCCUGCCUCAGCCUUCCACGUGCUGGGAUUACAGAUUUCCAGUUCUCAAAACUAAGUUUCAUUCCAGUCAGAAGACCUUUAGGGCUGGCCUAGGCCUGGCCUCGGGCUUCAAGGAACUGAGAAAGAAGGGGAAUGCAGACCUAAUCCCUGGGGUGAAGCUGUGUGCCCAUGACCUCAGCCACUCUGAAGGCUAAGGCAAGAGGAUCCAAAAGUUUAAGGCCAGCCUGCACAAUUUUGUGAGAUCUUAUCUCAAAAUAAAACAAAGAGAUCUGGGGACAUAGCUCAGUAUGGAGACCUGGGUUCAAUUUCCAGGCCUGAAAAAAUAAAUAACCCCAGUCUCUGAUCCCUGGGGUUAAUGAGAGCCAAAGAAUAUGAGGUGGCCUAGGGUGUAUCCAAAAUAGGUGUAUGUUGGGGCGAGCUGGGUGCGGGAGGCAGCUGGGGCAUCUGGAACAGCAGUCAGGACACAAAUGGGCCGGAGGCAUCACUGGGUUCCACCGGUUAAGGAAGGGGCUCAGAUGAGUGCAGCAGAGCAAGUGAGCUCCGGGGUGGGCUCCCUGGGCCCGAGGUGGUCCUCACAAGUCCUGGUGCAGAAUCUGGUCCCUAGAGGCCUGCCUUGGAGAGGGCACAUUUCAUUUUCUGCUAAGCUGAUGCCUGGGAUCUGUGGCCAUAGAAGGGGCUCUGAUCUCCUCUGCAGGGAGCCCAAGGGCUCUGCAAGCCACUGGGAGCUGCUUCAUUAGCAACAGGGAGUGGGUGCCCAGCUCCCACAGCCCCCUUCCUAGUGGCAGCCCAGCCUCCCCUCUGAUAGUCACUUUGCAAACUCUUCCUCCACUCCAGCCGCCCCCUCAGCUGUCUCUGCAAGGGAAGAGGGCGUUGACUGCCACCACUCCCCUUCCCAGGAGGGGGUGUUUUCUCAUAGGUAGGCUGUGUGUGUUGGGCUCUGCUCCUCUCAGGGCAGAUCCCUGCCUCCAGAGGUGAUAAUCCACAUUUGCAUGGUACCACAGAUUGCAAGUUUGUCUCGGGGAGGCAGUGGGCGAGGGAAGCAGAUCAGUGUGUGAGCUUGAGAAGGGGGUGUCUGCAGAGCUGGGGUAGGAUGAUGAGCCUCUGGCUGUCGUGGCUGGCUUGCCUGCAGAGGCAGAGGGAGGCUGAUUAUAGGGCUGAGUCCUGAGGCCCUUGGAUGUGGGUGCAAGAAGCUGUAUAUGCACUUGGCUGUCAAGGUGGGGGUGAUCACUGUUGCCCUGGUGACCGGGCUGGAAAGUGGGUUGGCCUUGCAGGCAGAAAUGCUAGAAAGAACAUGUAAUAAGCUUUCUUCUUUUCUUUUUGAUUGAAGCACCAGUUCUAGGGAGUGAUCAUAUACAAGAAAACAACUUUUCAGUAGUUGAAUCCAGCAUAUCCAUGUUCUGAUUCUCUGCAAGAACCACUCUCCUCCCUGAACCUGCCUCCCCCAACCAUGAAUUUUUCAUGCCUCACCCGUCUCCAUCCCCUUCUCUCCCGGGGACUGCCUAACCAAAAAUGGGACUGAUAGCAUUCAAGCCUGUGCAGCACUGCAGCCGAUUAAUCAAUCUCAUGGAAGAAAAGCAAAUUAAAAGUCUUCACUGUAAAACUUAUCCAAGGGAUUAAUAUCUUGAUUCUGUCUACCCUUAAUAGAAAACUGAAUUUUGGUUAAUGAGCCCCAUGCUUACGAAUUAACCUUUGUUCAUUAAUUAAUUAAUCAAAUAAAUUGGCUGAAUAAUGGCUCUGCACAGGGACAGAGCAGAGGCAGGAGCAGUUCCACCAUGGGGUCCCCAACCCCAAAGUGCCCACAGCUGGGCUUUCUGCUGCGGUUCUCUUGAGACUCCACAGCAGUAAGGUGGGUCUUAGGUUUGCAAGUGCAGUCUGGUGAGACAGUGGGGUGUGGCUGUGAACACAGAACCUAGAGCUCUGUGUGCCCUUCUUGUCACCCCAUUUGCAUAGUGCUUUUACCAGGCUCCCGUGUUGACCACAGAGCUCUGGUCAACAAAGGACACAAGGGUGUCCAGAGAGGCCCAAAACAAGGCCAAGGUGAGCCACUCACACAGGCUGCCCUGCCUCCCGCACAGUGGGUGUCACACGCUGAAAGCCAAACACCCCAUCCUGCUGCUGGACUGCACACUCACUGGCAGAGGCAGCUUUGCCUCCCGACCCUCUCUCUUCCUCCCUCCCCUCCCUCGCCCUCUCCUGUCCCUUCCCCCUCCCUUCUGCUCCUUCUCUGCAGAAGCAAAGAGAGCAUGAGGAUUUGGUCUGGAAGGGAAAGAAGCCCAGGGCGCUUGGUAAGAAAGAAACAAACAUGCAAGAACCAGCCAUGAAAUAGGAAUUGUGUGGCUACAGUGAGUCUACACACAAAUUAAAUGAGCUGAUGUUUGCAUCUAAAACUAGCAUCGCACAUCAUAAAAAUAAAUGCUAAAAUUUUAAUAACUUAAAAUUUUAACUUCCCUUUGUUUUGAGUAACAUUAAAUAACAAAUAAAAAAUAUAUAUGUUGAAAGAUCACAGAAGAAAAGACCAACUAUUCGAAUUAUUUUUUUUCUUUUUGUGGUACUCAGAAUUGAACCCACAUGCUUGGUGCCAUGCCCUGCCACUGAGCUGCAUCCCUAAGCCCUUUUUAAACAAUUUAUUUGGACGCAACGUCUCACUACAUUGCCCACGCUGGCCUCAAAUUUGUAAUCUUCCUGCCUCAGUCUCCCAGAGUGCUGAGGUUACAGACAUGCAGCUGCAAAUUACACAUCCCACACUGGGGCCCACAGCUGUGCUAGACCCUGGCGUUGUGAGAUAGAGAAAGCAGCAACUCUCUCCAAGGAGUUUAUUUAUCCUUUAUCUCAUUCCUUUGGAAAACUUCAUGGUCCGAAGACAGCAAGUGACUCAGCCAUUAAAAAGGAAACAAGAAGAAAUCAGGACUGACUGACUCUGGAACUGUUAAAGAUUAAGUGCGUUAGUGUUGAAGACACUUCCUGGAACACAGAGUUAUUCUAAGAGUUUGCUAUCAUUAUUAUUAUUAUUACAUAUUGAGCAUUCUUAAUUCAAAAAUUUUAAAUUCUAAAUACUAACAAUCCAAAGCUUUCUGACCACAACGCAAGUGAAAGAUUCUGUACCAUGAAACUUGCAUAAAAUAAUUGAAAAUAUACAAGAUUACCUUAAAACUACAUGUGUAGGUGUACAUGAAACAUAAAUGAAUUUUGUAUUAGACUUUCCCCUAUCCUAAAAGUAGCUCAUGGUAUAUAUGCAUGUAUUCCAAAAAUUUAAAACAUCCAAAAUUCAAAACAUUUCUGGUUCAAACAAACCGAUUUGUCAUUGUCUACGUUUUUUCUAUCCUGAUCUAUUCAGCAAGCUCUUCAACAAGCAGAGUUGAAAGGUUGCUGUCAGUUCCUGUCCUGCAUCUCAGCUCUGUCAAGUAAAGGAAACAACUCACGCGUUCAAAUCCGAUGCAAAGACCUUGUCCAUCCAGCAAAAAUAUUUAUAAAGCUUUACUCACCUGGCAUCAUGCCUGGAGCUAGGAGAGAACAAAAAGGGGCAAAUAAGAGGCAGCCCCUGCCUGGCUCAGUUUAGGAGCUAAGAGGAGAAACAAGACACACACUUGUUAACAAGUGCACCUUUUAUCAUGAGCAUUAAAGCCCAAAUCAAUUGAGGUUACUCAAAUUAUUUGCAAGGGCAGGACUGGGCCGUCAGGGGUGAGUAAAUGUGUCCUGCCACUUCCUGUGGACAGAUAGAUGGGGUAGGAAGAAAGAGUGAGGUGGGUGUCCCCCCAUUCUGGGAGAUGGCUCCCUGAGUCUUUGGCCACCAGGUGCUCACUGGGAGGCUGGGAUACAGGUCUCCCCUUUCAAGGCAAAGGAGAGAGAAGACAUCCAAGACACGAGGUAUAGUAGUAUAAAGAUUUUUGAAGACAGGCGUGUCUGACAUUCAGUCUGAGGUUGUUGGCAGCGCUAAGUUGCGAAAGCUCCUCUUUUGCUAGUACAUCUUUAAUAAAAGCUGCUGCAGGAAAAAAAAAAAGGCACUGUGUCCUGUGAGGGGGGCUUCGUCACCAUGAAGAAUGAGUCAAUCAUUUUUACAUCUCCCAGCGUGUCUGGGACUUGGCAAGAAAUUAUUCGGUGUUUAUUAAGAGAAGGAGAAAAAGAAAGAGGGAGUACAGGGGGAGAGAGAAACAGAAAAGAUAUUUAAGGAAUAGACACAGAUAAGAGAGUGAGUGAUGGUCCCCACAGGAAGACCAGGUACAGCUCAGGGGGACAGGAUGGGGAGGUGAGGCCCAGCUUUGCUCAUCUGCAGGUAGGGCUGGAGCUCAUGGACAGACGCUGAAUCCCCAGCCACAGAAAGCAGCGUAGAAGUCGAGUUGCAUUACAACAUCUUGCAUUCAGCAUGGAACAACUGAGCUGAGAUCUGAAUGCUUGUACACUCUUUCCCAGCAAAGCCACGCCACGAUCCUGAAACCUAUGUGUUGUCAUGACGUGUUCUUGGCAACCAGAGACUCAGUGCCCACUGUCACACAUCCUUGACUCACCGUGGCUCACUGGUUCAGAAGAGGGGGCAGCUCCGUUCCUCUCCCUGUGUCACCACAGUAAUUACUGAAACAAUAAUUUGAACAAUGAGAACUUAUAAUUCUCUAGCAACAGGCAAAAGUAGUGUCAUUUACAGAAAAAUAAACUCCAGAGUAUCGGGUAACGGAAACCAUUAUAUCCUUCUCAGCUGGCAAAGCCCAAGACUCAGCUAUGCACGACAUGAGGGUUGUUCAUUCUUUCAUUCUGAACACAGUGGUAGGGCACCAAGAGAGGCGGCAGGCAGUAUAGACAGUGCACAAUCUGACUCUACUUCCUCCCACACCUGGGUCCAGCAGGAAAAUAGCCAUUGGAUGCUGGGCUUUAGAAGUGAAGAGAUACAUAUCAUCAACAUCCUUGGUUUCCAUCUUUGAGAAUUUGCUCUACCAGUGUCCAAGCUUCAACCAGAAACCUCCUAUGAGCCCCAAGGACAUUACAGGUUGGGCUGAUCGGGAGCCAGUGAGGGGUUGAGGAAGAAUGGAAAUGCUGGAGGAGAGAAAAGAAAACCAGGACUCUUCACCUGACAAUCCAUAGAGGCCUAAAAAUGACCACAGCUGAGCCAGGAAGCAGUUCGUGGUCCUUUGCCCUUCCUCCCUCUCAAAUGCUGUGCUGUCCACAUGACCCUAGAUAUGAGUCUUCAUCUCUCUGAACCUCUCCUACAGGAAGCAAAACAGAAAAAACAUGUUUCCUAGGAUCACUCCAACAGCAGAAUAUAGAAAGGGAUGAUGGAGUUAGAAACUAAGGCAGGGUCUGGCCACGGUGGGACUUAGGCAGCUUAUUCACCCGCCCUCUUGGUAAGCGCCCCUGGCAUGGGCCAGGAGGAGAACCCAUGAGCCUACUGGUGGCGUGUGGGCUGAGAAUCAAACACACCCCACCCCACCCCCGUAGCAACUGGGGACAGAUGUUUCAGAUUCUUUUGGAAGAUGACCAUAUGCAAUAUAGCAAAUAUCGGGGAUUUCCUUCUAUCUUCUGUUUGAAGGCAAAGGUGGUUUUGUUUUGUUAUGUUUGUUUUGCUCUAUUCAAUACUCUCUUUCAAUUGGUUUUAUAAUGUUCUAUUUUUGGCUUGAUUUUACUAUUCCUGAUUGGCCGGACAGCUAUUGUGAAGAUAACAAGAUAUACCAUAGUACCUAUUACUACCAUCCCAGUAUCCUGCUCUGAAGCUCUGUACCAA